UGAAAGAAAUGGGUUUGAAUGCUUGCAGAUUUUCAGUCUCAUGGCCUCAAAUAUUGCCAAUUUUCAUUGGCCAUACCCUUUCAAUCAACCAGCGGAAUUCGAGGUGAGAGGUUAGUUAAACUUUUUUCAACUUGCUGUACUAUUUAUGGUCACUUCUGCAUUUGUUGGCCAUUUGGGAGAGGUGGAGCUGGCUGCUGUUUCUAUUAUUCAGAAUGUAAUUGAAGGCUUUAUUUAUGGGGCUGACGGUAAGUAAUGGGUAUUUGUUGAUUUCUGGAUAUUUUUUUUUAUUUUCUGUUCUAUUUGGUGAUCUCAUAUGGAAUGGGUUUUUCAUAUUUGUUUGAAAUGAAGUUUUCAAACUCUCUAUAGGGCUCGGCUAACUCUAUUUGCUUGAUUUUGUUGUUCAGAGUGAUUAUUAGUUACUAUUAGAAAUGGUUGGUCAGUCCUUUGGUACAAGAUCUAUGUUCCUUGACUACAGGGAUGAGGUUUGCUUCUUUGAUCAUGGAUUUGGAGCCACCUACCGAUUCUUACUCUCACUUUCGUUGCCAACCAACAGGACAGACUGAUUAUGUGAUUUGCAGUACUGGAGCUGUGGGUGUUUGACCCAGUCUAUAUGUGUGUUAGUGAUCUACUUAGUAUGGCUACUGAUAUUACUUGGCUUGAUUUUUAAGUGAAUCCUGCCUCCAACAUCCUAUUGAGUUUCAUUGCUUAUCAUUUACUAAUGCUUUAUUCACAUUGUAUCACAAUAGUGAAAUUCUGAUGCUCAAACUUUAGAAGAACCCUGUACUUGAAUAUAGACAUUUAUUAGGAGCUCCCAGGAUGGAACAAAUUCUCUAGAGACACGUGUUCAUGGCCUGGAAAUGGCAUUGGAUGAAAUUUCAUAUGACUUGGCAUUAUCAAGUGGAGGGAUUCCCAAUAACUGCCUGGUGCGGUCUUGAGUUCCAAGUCCUGGAGGAGAACAGAAGUUUGGUAUUCUUCUUCAAGGUUCUAUGAGCAUGCAAUCGCCGCAUGCUGCACGAAACAUUUACAGUAAAGAUGCCAGCACUGAAAUAUUCAAUGCAAAUAGCCAAAGAUUUCAUCAUCAAAACUGGAGUGGAUUCACCUAGAGAAAUGUCAAAUAACGUAAUCUAAGAUGAGACACAAGUUAAAAAAGCCAGCGCACGUGAACUUAUGCAGCAGGUAAAUUAGAUAUCUAAAGUUUAUGCUCUCUGUAUUUGUAUUUUCCUAUUGUCAAAACUUUGCUUUGUAUAUUCUAUCCUACCACCAUUGAAAGCUCAGCAAACGUGUCCUACCUUGUUGAUGACCAAUCAACUCUGGUCAUUUGUUGAUAGACGAAGGUGAAGCAUUCAUUUAUUGUCAUCCAACCACUUAGAGUUGUGCCUCUCCGACUUUCCUUUUUCAAACUUUUGUUUAAUUAUUUUGUUAGGACUUUUGGAGAAUCUUCCAUUUAUCCAUCCUACUCUAUUUCAGACCACAUACAACCAUCCAUGGCUGUCAUCCCAUGAACAAUUUUUGUUUUGGGUAUUAUUUAUGAAUAAUUUACUAAAAAAACAUGUAUAUGGAUGAUGAAUCUUCUACCCAUGACCACAGACUUUUACCAUUUUAACCCCAUUUGAUCAGCAAUAUACUUCAAAUUGAGGGGCAAAAAAUUUCAAAACAUUCCUUUUUUUUAGAGUUUUGCCAAAUUGUAGCUUAAAAUUCUCCCUCUACUUUCUACAUCAUUUCAUUUGUCCUGCCUUCACUUUCUUACCAAAAUUAGCUAUGAUUUUUAAAAGGAUUACAUCUAUAUAUCUUUAUAUCUGGAAAAGUAAUAAGCAGAGUGUUUUGCAUGAUCAAUUAGUUGGAUUUCUCUUUCAAAAAAUAGGAAAAUCUGUUUGGGUUAUUGUCGCAAUCUUUUUUAUACUAUAUCUUUGUCUAGUUAAUGUCGUCUCUAAUUCAAGCUUUCAAGUGUUCAAAACUUCGUAGCAGUGAAUAUCACUACUAUACAAGGCCUCCAGGCUGAUGGCCACUUCUUGGAAAGUCUCAUUUUCAGGAUACUUUAUCAUCAAACACAAGGACAGAUACCAUCCAUCACUCUCAUCAUCAAUAACUCAAAACAUCUAUUACAACUAAAAACAUAUUUUAUCACAAAGUUUCAACACAGAUCACACCAUGUCCGUACAUGUAAUUCCUGAUGACACAUCAAGAAAAAAUAUAACUAGUUAUAAGUAACAAUUCCUGAAGAUAUGUAAGGUAAAUUGAGCAAGGAUAUAUGUACAUGCAUAACUUGUAGAGAGACCUGGAGGAAGGCAUUCAUAUGUCUUAUCAGAAGGUACGUACCCCACCUGAAGAUGAGGCUACAUAGAGACUCACAGGUCAAUUCCAAUUAAGUAGUUCUUCUAUCAUUUGCAUUGCAAUUCUAUCCUCUUCAUCAUCCAUACUAUUUCCUGGUUCCAUCCCAACCGCUGGUGAUGAUGAUGACAGUGACGAUCCAUCCUCCAUCACUUGUGUUUUCUUGUUUCCAAGCUCUACCUUCAUGACCCAAUUUGAUCUCGAAUGAGACCCAGCUCCCUUUUGCCACACUCCAAUAUGAGAGUUGUCGUUGUCAAGCCUUAAACAAGUGAGUGAAGCAGGGGAAGGGUCUUUGCAACACUUGCGAAGCUUGGUGUGGAGCAGCUCAGAGAGAGCCUGGGGAGGCAAUGGAGACUGAUCAUUAUUAUUGCAGUGAUGAGGAUUAAUUCCUGUCUCUUCCAGGUCACCUCUAGGGAAAUUUGUCUUGGCAUUUUGACCAUUCAUGAGUAUAGCUGCUUGGUCGUAAGCUCUUGCUGCUGCCUCAGCUGUCUCAAAUGUGCCUAGCCAUAUCCUCCUCUUCCUACACACACCCACCAAAAAAAAAGGAAAAAGACAUGGCAAUGCAAGAUCAGAAACACCUUCCAUAAAAUCUAGCUAGAAUGAUGAAUGUGCGCCUGCAGGGUAACUAGCAAUUUUGUAUUUAUAACUAGCCUGGAGCCACAUGAAUAUUUAAUAAGUAAGACAUGCAAUAUAGUGUAAUAAUGUGAGUGGGUGAGCUUACAGUAAAGGGUGGCGAAUUUCAGAGACCCAGGAGCCCCACUGGCGUUGCCUGACGCCUCUGAAUUUCUUUGAUUGUACCAUAUCUUUAUAUGGAGAUGAGAGUGAGAAAUUUGCAGAGAAAGAGAGAGAUAGAGAGAUUGAUAAUUAAAUUGGAGAGAUGAUGAUGACGAUGAUGAAGUUUUUAAGUGUUUUAAUACAGAGGGCUUAUUGAACAUGAAAAGUGGACAGCUUACUAAAUAUAUAAGAGAGAUUAUGUGAGCUUUGUCGGUGAAUGGAUAGAAAAGUCUAAAGUUGCAAUAAAGAUUUCACCUACACAGCACUAUGCAAAAACCUUUGCCUUCUUAACAACUAAAUAAAUGAUCUCUAUUCCAC
rnacentral:misc_RNA from 1 species